rnacentral:rRNA from 1 species
UACGUAGGGGGCUAGCGUUGUCCGGAAUCAUUGGGCGUAAAGAGCGUGUAGGCGGCCCGGUAAGUCCGCUGUGAAAGUCGGGGGCUCAACCCUCGAAUGCCGGUGGAUACUGUCGGGCUAGAGUGCGGAAGAGGCGAGUGGAAUUCCUGGUGUAGCGGUGAAAUGCGCAGAUAUCAGGAGGAACACCGGUGGCGAAGGCGGGUCUCUGGGCCGUAACUGACGCUGAGGAGCGAAAGCGUGGGGAGCAAACAGG